rnacentral:misc_RNA from 1 species
UUUUGCAUUUAAUUUAUUGCUCAGACGCCAAUUAAAAAAGAUUGAAUGUGUCUUUAGCGGGCGCUCGCCAGCUGGGGCCGACGGCGACGGGGGCCGCGGCCCGCUAAAGCAACUGAAUUGGUUGGCAUUGGGUGGAGAUGGCUCCCGAAAGAGACCUAACUCGAUAAUGAUCCUUCCGCAGGUUCACCUACGGAAA